UACGGGGGGGGCAAGCGUUGUUCGGAAUUACUGGGCGUAAAGGGCGCGUAGGCGGCCUGCUAAGUCGGACGUGAAAUCCCUCGGCUCAACCGGGGAACUGCGUCCGAUACUGGUGGGCUCGAAUCCGGGAGAGGGAUGUGGAAUUCCAGGUGUAGCGGUGAAAUGCGUAGAUAUCGGCAGGAACACCCAGGGGGAAACCAGUCGACUGGGCAUCUACUGACGCUGAGGUGCGAGAGCGUGGGGAGCGAACCGG
rnacentral:rRNA from 1 species